rnacentral:rRNA from 1 species
GACGAACGCUGGCGGCGUGCCUAAUACAUGCAAGUUGAGCGCUGAAGGUUGGUACUUGUACCGACUGGAUGAGCAACGAACGGGUGAGUAACGCGUGGGGAAUCUGCCUUUGAGCGGGGGACAACAUUUGGAAACGAAUGCUAAUACCGCAUAAAAACUUUAAACACAAGUUUUAAGUUUGAAAGAUGCAAUUGCAUCACUCAAAGAUGAUCCCGCGUUGUAUUAGCUAGUUGGUGAGGUAAAGGCUCACCAAGGCGAUGAUACAUAGCCGACCUGAGAGGGGGAUCGGCCACAUUGGGACUGAGACACGGCCCAAACUCCUACGGGAGGCAGCAGUAGGGAAUCUUCGGCAAUGGACGAAAGUCUGACCGAGCAACGCCGCGUGAGUGAAGAAGGUUUUCGGAUCGUAAAACUCUGUUGGUAGAGAAGAACGUUGGUGAGAGUGGAAAGCUCAUCAAGUGACGGUAACUACCCAGAAAGGGACGGCUAACUACGUG